AAUUGUGAGUUUACAGAAAUUUCUUAAAGAUUAUCUCACUGUUACUGUCUUGGUGAUGUAAGUAUUGUAUUGGGCCUCUAGGAUCCUCCUUUGUAUUUGGCUCUGGACCUUUAGCACCAUCUGCCAGUCCAACGUUUGGUGCUAACCAGACCCCAACAUUUGGACAAAGUCAAGGUGCCAGCCAGCCCAAUCCCCCAAGCUUUGGAUCAAUUUCAUCAUCGUCAACAGCAUUGUUUACUGCUGGUUCUCAGCCUGCCCCACCUACUUUUGGAACAGUGUCGAGUAGCACUCAGCCUCCUGUGUUUGGGCAGCAGCCUAGUCAGUCUGCAUUUGGUUCUGGAACAACUCCUAAUUCCAGUUCGGUUUUCCAAUUUGGCAGCAGCAGCGCUACCAAUUUCAACUUCACAAACAACAAUCCAGCAGGAGUGUUCACAUUUGGUGCAAAUCCCAGCACACCUGCAGCCUCAGCCCAGCCUUCAGGCUCAGGGAACUUCCCGUUUAGCCAGUCAGCAGCAGCAUUUACAGUGGGGUCAAAUGGGAAAAAUAUGUUCUCCUCUCCUGGAACUUCGGUUCCUGGUCGCAAGAUAAAGACUGCUGUUAGACGCAGAAAAUAAAGAUGAUAAUGAUGUUAUACACAACAGUUUUAACAGCUGGUGCCCAUCAUUUAGAUAAUGGAUUGUACUACAUGCUGGGCUUAUCCGAAAUCAGAUCUGCCUAAGGACUUAAUUUUGAAAUUUUCCUUCUCUCUCUUUAUGGAAUCCCUUCCCUGUCUCUUCUACCCCCUUUUAAAAAAAAAAAAAAUAAUAGCUAGACUGGUGACUGACUCUUCAGCAAAAAUAUUUUAUGGUCCAGCACAUUAUUCACUGAUUUGGUGUAGUCUGGCUGUACCCAGGAAUGGGGCCUGCACAGCGAAUGGCUUUGUAUAGAACCUCUUUGUCUACACCGCUAUGUGUGUUGAUAAGCGUUUAUGGAACGCGUUGAAAUUGUAAUUAUAUCUGAGGAAUUCUGUAUAGAUUAGAAUUCUGUAUAGACUAGAGGACAUUGAAAUGAAUGAUUUCUAUGCCAAGUUUGUGCUGGUGUGUGUGAAGUGAGUGAGUUGGGUAUAUUGUGCACUAAGAUUUUCUGAUAGAGAAAGCCUGAUCAAAGAAUUGGUCCAUGCUAAGGACUUGUUAGAUCUAGUUCAUUCUCCAUUUAACAAUUAUAUGCUAUUUCUAUAUUUUCAUUCUUCUAUCACCUGUCUUGCCUUUUUCAUUAUUUUAUUAUACAACUUCUGUAAAUACAGUUUUGUUUCUGUACUUUUUGGCAUAACAUAAAUCUGUGAACUUGAAAUUUUAUUUUGUGUUAGACAUUUUUUUGUUGUUGUUUAGUCUUGUCUCAGAUUUUAUUACGUAAAUCCCAUUAUUCAAAGUUGCCUAAAUCCAUUUGGAAAUCUUUAAAAAAAAUUGGGGUAUCUUAAAAGUUGAAUUUAUUGGCUUUUCUGAUCCAGUUUUGUUUGGACCAAAAACCAGUAUUGUACAAAGUAUUAAGUAUAUAUUUUUAUAUUUACUGAAAUGGACUGUGGUGACUUUGGAUAAUAAGGAAAUGUUUAAUAUUAAAGCCAUGUUUAUUACAGUAUAAUUAACAUGUUAAACCAUGGGAUAAAUGCCAUCAAUAAAAAUUUAUGAAGCACUUUUUGUUAUAGUUUUAACUCAUAAUAAAGGUGCACAGUAACAGUGGUCAGUUAGAAAUCCCAAAGAGUACAUACGAGUGAUUAGGUGACCCCUGAGGGAAGGGGAAAGUGUCUGAAUUCGCAGCAUACGGGAAGUAUACUGCUGCUUGCCUGGUGCUAGAAUUCUUGCCUAAUUUGCACAUAGAACUACAUAACUUUUUUAAAAGUUGAAAAUAAACACACGUAACCAUU